UUUCAGAGGGUCAACAACAUCAUGGGUUCUUUUGUUUUUCUCUUAAAGAUAAUGCCUCGAUCAUUUAUCCAACUGAGAUAAUUAAAGCAGCCCAACCGGUAAUCAAGAAUUGGUGUAUUUUAAAAGGAUAUAGUUAUAGUUUGUUUCUUUUGUCUGUCUCUCCAUCUGAUUUUUACUUCUCAUGUUACAUUCGUUGGCUAAAGCCAAGUUUUUCAAAAAGGUAAGCGAGAAUGGUGUUGUACAUCUGAGUUUGUUUGCCUUUAAAACAUAUAGCUAUUAUGGUUAACCUGUAAUCUCUUCUCAUGUUUCAUAAGCCGUAUAAGCUGAAUGAGAAAAGAGUUGGAGGGUACAAUGCAGGUCACACAAGAGAUUUUGCUAAUGCAUCCAAAAAUUGUUGAUCCUAAAAGGAGAUUUUGUUGUGCUUGAUCUGUAUAUAAUGAUUUCUCAUGCUUCACAUCUGUAGGGCUGGUGGCUAAGGUGGAAAAACUGGAAAAGGAACUUCAAAAAGCCAAACGGCUUGAACCGUGGAAACGUGUUGUGAAAGCUAGAAGGAUGAACCAAGGCUAUGUAAUCAAAUGCUUUCAGUAAUAAUAUUUUAAUAAAGGAGCUGACACAAACAUGAA